rnacentral:misc_RNA from 1 species
GAGAAGAACGUAGCGAAAUGCGAUAAGUAAUGUGAAUUGCAGAAUUCAGUGAAUCAUCGAAUCUUUGAACGCACAUUGCGCCCCCUGGUAUUCCGGGGGGCAUGCCUGUUCGAGCGUCAUUUCACCACUCAAGCCUCGCUUGGUAUUGGGCAACGCGGUCCGCCGCGUGCCUCAAAUCGUCCGGCUGGGUCUUCUGUCCCCUAAGCGUUGUGGAAACUAUUCGCUAAAGGGUGUUCGGGAGGCUACGCCGUAAAACAACCCCAUUUCUAAGGUUGACCUCGGAUCAGGUAGGGAUACCCGCUGAACUUAAGCAUAUCAAUAAGCGGAGGA